rnacentral:rRNA from 1 species
UACGAAGGGGGCUAGCGUUGCUCGGAAUGACUGGGCGUAAAGGGCGCGUAGGCGGUUUGAUCAGUUAGGUGUGAAAUUCCUGGGCUUAACCUGGGGGCUGCACUUAAUACGGUCAGACUAGAGUGUGAAAGAGGGUCGUGGAAUUCCCAGUGUAGAGGUGAAAUUCGUAGAUAUUGGGAAGAACACCGGUGGCGAAGGCGGCGACCUGGUUCAUUACUGACGCUGAGGCGCGAAAGCGUGGGGAGCAAAC